rnacentral:lncRNA from 10 species
CUGGGAAAGAAGGCACCUUACAUUGAUCUAUAACAAAUUUAUUCUCUCUAAGUAAGAUAGGUAUUUGAGAUAGAAAUUAAGUCGAGUUACAGAAAAGAACAAAGUUAUAUUUCUUGUUAACCUGACAUUUUUGAACCAGUAUAGGUAUUCAAGACUUUAAAUUUGGGGAUCAAUUUGAGUCAUAUUUUAAAAGAAAAACUUUGCAAAUAUUUCAAAGAAAACAUUUCUGCCUUACAACAAAGUUGACCUCAGAUAGUGUCCUCAGAGUUUGAGAUGGAUGGGUAAAUUCAUGGUAUCAGCUACCAGAUUUGUAUAUAUUUUUAUACUUUAUGGAUCUGAUGAUGGUUUUAUCACUCUAGAGACAAACAUAGCAAAACUCAGUGAGCUACUAAGUAUGCACCAGGAAAAACAAAAUGAAAUAAUAAAAUCAGGUGAAAAUAAGUGAGGUAAAAUAUAUUUGAGGCUCAUCUCUAGGUAAGAAACAGACCAACACGUUUUGAACAAUUAAUUCUUCUUAAGUGUAGCUUCAACAUUUCUCAUGCAAAUUUAUCUGGAGCGCAGAAGUCUGACUUACGAAAAGUCUACCUUGGAAGACAACAUACCAAGGGGGAUUUUAUAGGCCUAACUCACAGAAAGAUGUUUGAUAAAUAUUGGAGGGCCUAGUAGACUUAAGGUAUUAUUCUAUGAACUUUAAAAAACGAGAAAAGGUGUAACUGGCUUAUAGUUUAGGUGGGGAGACAAGAGGAACAUCCAUGAGAAGCAAAUCUAAAUAUAACAACAACACAAAGCAGGACAUGAUAUUGAUAAUUGUGGUGCUGUUUUUGGAACUAUCUGAUUAUAAGCAGAUGCCUCUUCUCCACAUUAGCUUUCAUCUAAAGGAAAUCAUAGCUAUCAUCGGAUUCUUUGUUCUGGUUAUUCCUUGACAGGUUAUCAAGAUAAAUAUCCACAUAGGCUCAGAAAAUGUGGACCUUUCUUAUGUAUUAGCUUUGUCAAGUGUCAAGGGCAAAACCAAAAACAAACAAAAUACAAGCAAAGAAAGAAAAAGAAAACAUGCUGUGACCUGAGAUGCAGCUGAAAGGUCCUACUGAACUCUGGAGAUGACUUCCAGAGGCCAACUUAACAAUGUCCCUUUUAUUCUUCUUAUGCCAUAGAAGCAGCAGUACUGUAAAGUGAUAAACUUUGUGGUGGACAAAAUCUACUAUGGCUCCCAAUGGUCUCUGCCUCCAGAUAAUUUGUAGCAGUUGCACUGGGGAACAGGCCCAUGGAGCUCCUGAUUUUUCAUGCUGGAAGUGGGACACUGCACGCCCUCUAUUUUUAACACUUAGGUUUUUGGAGCUUUGAUUAAUUUGGGCAGAGAAAGUAUAUUACACAGGUCAUUUCUUUACUUACCACAAGCAAAGGAAUAAAAGAUUCAAUAUUCUCAAUAAAAUGGAGAUUUAUUUUUUUCAUUUUCUGGUAGCAGCAGUUUCAUACACACACACACACACACACACACACACACACACACACACAAACACUCACUCACUUUGCAUUUCUCUUCCUGCUUCUAGCUCAGGACACAGUGGAUAGACCAAUAGUGAUGAGAGCGCUAGGGAGAACUAACACUCUAUGUUUCCUCCUUUUUUUUUUUUUUUUUUUUACUAUUUUUACUACUUUCCUAUUUUUGUUACAAUGUUUUAGUAACG